rnacentral:rRNA from 1 species
AUUGAACGCUGGCGGCGUGCCUAACACAUGCAAGUCGAGCGGUAACAGGUGUAGCAAUACAUGCUGACGAGCGGCGGACGGGUGAGUAACGCUUGGGAAUCUGCCUAUUAGUGGGGGACAACCCGGGGAAACUCGGGCUAAUACCGCAUACGCACUACGGUGGAAAGCCCGGGGACCGCAAGGCCUGGCGCUAACAGAUGAGCCCAAGUCGGAUUAGCUAGUUGGUAGGGUAACGGCCACCAAGGCGACGAUCCGUAACUGGUCUGAGAGGACGACCAGUCACACCGGAACUGAGACACGGUCCGGACUCCUACGGGAGGCAGCAGUGGGGAAUAUUGGACAAUGGGCGAAAGCCUGAUCCAGCGACGCCGCGUGGGUGAAGAAGGCCUGCGGGUUGUAAAGCCCUUUCAGUGGGGAAG